rnacentral:rRNA from 1 species
GACGAACGCUGGCGGCGUGCCUAAUACAUGCAAGUCGAACGCUUCUUUCCUCCCGAGUGCUUGCGCUCAAUUGGAAAGAGGAGUGGCGGACGGGUGAGUAACACGUGGGUAACCUACCCAUCAGAGGGGGAUAACACUUGGAAACAGGUGCUAAUACCGCAAAACAGUUUAUGCCGCAUGGCAUAAGAGUGAAAGGCGCUUUCGGGUGUCGCUGAUGGAUGGACCCGCGGUGCAUUAGCUAGUUGGUGAGGUAACGGCUCACCAAGGCCACGAUGCAUAGCCGACCUGAGAGGGUGAUCGGCCACACUGGGACUGAGACACGGCCCAGACUCCUACGGGAGGCAGCAGUAGGGAAUCUUCGGCAAUGGACGGAAGUCUGACCGAGUAACGCCGCGUGAGUGAAGAAGGUUUUCGGAUCGUAAAACUCUGUUGUUAGAGAAGAACAAGGACGUUAGUAACUGAACGUCCCCUGACGGUAUCUAACCAGAAAGCCACGGCUAACUACGUGCCAGCCGCCGCCGUAA